GAAGUCUGGUCUGGACAAAGGCUAGCCACCAGUCCAGCACCGAAUCUCACAUACGGUGAGGUAACGAGCCGUGUGAAGCUGAGAGGGGGGAGGUAUCAGGCUACAACGCAAGUGAAGGUAUAGAGCCUCGAAAUAAUCAUCGUGUCGGAGGUCGACCCUGUUCAUGUAGUGGGAAGACAGAAUUUUCUGCAUCGGUAAGGCAAGAGGUAGAAAACCCGACGGGGUCUAAGGCCG
rfam:Candidatus Brocadia caroliniensis isolate 26THWARD NODE_1_length_137264_cov_20.783_ID_1, whole genome shotgun sequence.